CUCUCAACAGUGCUGCAUUGGGAGCCAACCCUCGAAUAGACGAUUUUUGAGGGAUCUCACUAAGUCAUUAAGUUGCUUACCCUGGGCUUCAACUUGGGAUUCUCCUGCCUCAGCCUCCCUGAGAUUCAGACAUGCAACACUAUUCACUGACAGUCUUAACAGAUGCUUAUUUGGGUUGAUGAGAUUAAUAAAGAGUUCGUUCCUCAGCUACCAGCACUUCUAAGUGGUUCACAUGUUGAUGAAUUGAUCAGAAGUCUCUCUGAAGAGGCUGAUUUUUAAACCAAAGCCCAACUUAUUUAUAAAGGAAGAUCCAUCUAACCUAAUGUGUACCUGGAAAGUAAAUUGAAGAAUGAAGAAUACCCAGGGUACAGAGUCUUCGAAAUCAAGGACUACCAGACUAGUACUUGGAAGAGAUGAGAGAAGGUUGCAAGGAGGUGAGAAGUAUAUGAAUCAGUUCCUGGGGUGUCCUGAAGCUCUGAAGAAAAUGACUUGAAACAAUUCCAGCUCUCACUUUUUUCCUUCAAUCAAUUCCCAGCUGGGCUGUGACAGAAGGCAGAUGAUAAGAAAAGGAAGGAGAGCAAUAAAGCGCAGCCGCUUUACAAGAGAAGAAAAAGUUUCCCAGAGGGAAGUAAAGAAGGAAAGCCCCCCCAAAAAACCUAGGCACAGAGCUUGCUUGAAGGAGAAAGAUUACCAUGAAAUCUUUAAAUGUUCUAAACACCAUCAGUAACAGCUGUAAAGGAGUGGGAACAGGUAUAAUAGGGAUUAGUGGAAAGAGCUUCACUGUAGCCAUGUACUUUUCUGUAUUAUUUAGUAUUCCUCUCUUUGAAGAACUGCCUUAUGAGUUGAAUAUGAAAACAGAAGAAACUUUCCUAAUUGCCAGGUGAGCUUUAUGUACUCAUUAAAACAGCGUGUGGUUUCCACGUAAAACAAGCAAGCAAGCAAGCAAGCAAGCAAGCAAGCAAGUAACCAUCUGAGAUUCCUCACUCCCGUUCAGAAAAACUAAGAACACAGUUUGAUUUCAUUCAGUUCUGAAUGUUAUGUGUGAUUUUUUUGGGUAAUGACUUUAGGGAUGUAGUUCGUAUUGCACAAGCUUGACUUCAAAUGUUUUGAGGGGAAAGGCCUGAGGGAUUACAGAAGCAUGAACUGAAGCACUGCUGGGCCCUUGCUUGUCACCGGAAAAACCAAUAUAAACUUGGAACUGCAAAAGAAAUGCAG
rnacentral:lncRNA from 1 species